rnacentral:rRNA from 1 species
AUUGAACGCUGGCGGCAGGCCUAACACAUGCAAGUCGAGCGGUUGAGGGGAGCUUGCUCCCUGAUUCAGCGGCGGACGGGUGAGUAAUGCCUAGGAAUCUGCCUAUUAGUGGGGGACAACGUUUCGAAAGGAACGCUAAUACCGCAUACGUCCUACGGGAGAAAGCAGGGGACCUUCGGGGCGUGCGCUAAUAGAUGAGCCUAGGUUGGAUUAGCUAGUUGGUGAGGUAAUGGCUAACCAAGGCGACGCUCCGUAACUGGUCUGAAAGGAUGAUCAGUCACACUGGAACGAAGACACGGUCCAGACUCCUACGGGAGGCAGCAGUGGGGAAUAUUGGACAAUGGGCGAAAGCCUGAUCCAGCCAUGCCGCGUGUGUGAAGAAGGUCUUCGGAUUGUAAAGCACUUUAAGUUGGGAGGAAGGGUUGUAGAUUAAUACUCUGCAAUUUUGACGUUACCGACAGAAUAAGCACCGGCUAACUCUGUGCCAGCCGCCGCAGUAAGAC